rnacentral:rRNA from 1 species
CCUACGGGAGGCAGCAGUAGGGAAUCUUCCGCAAUGGACGCAAGUCUGACGGAGCAACGCCGCGUGAGUGAAGAAGGUUUUCGGAUCGUAAAACUCUGUUGUUAGAGAAGAACAAGUGCUAGAGUAACUGUUAGCGCCUUGACGGUAUCUAACCAGAAAGCCACGGCUAACUACGUGCCAGCAGCCGCGGUAAUACGUAGGUGGCAAGCGUUGUCCGGAUUUAUUGGGCGUAAAGCGAGCGCAGGCGGUUCCUUAAGUCUGAUGUGAAAGCCCCCGGCUCAACCGGGGAGGGUCAUUGGAAACUGGGGAACUUGAGUGCAGAAGAGGAGAGUGGAAUUCCAUGUGUAGCGGUGAAAUGCGUAGAUAUAUGGAGGAACACCAGUGGCGAAGGCGACUCUCUGGUCUGUAACUGACGCUGAGGCUCGAAAGCGUGGGUAGCAAACAGGAUUAGAUACCCCAGUAGUC